UGAUGGUGAAUCAUUGCAGUCUGAGGAGAGAGAAUCUGAAUUGUAUUAAUGAGUAGUUAGAGAUGGCUAAAUUUACCCAGACUGCUCUCUCAAGGCACAAAAAGAACAUUAACUUGGUCCUGUAUUGAAAAUAAAGUGCUGUUGCUCAUUUCUGAUAAAAGACAUGAACAAUUGGACCGUUAGCUAAAAUACAACAGAAGCAGAGGUGCUAAGUGACAUAUUCAGUGAGGAAUAAAACACUUGGGGGCAUGUUGUUAUAGGAAAAUAAUCAAAAUAUUACAGAAGCUGUGUUGAGUGCAGCUCUGCAGCUGCUAUUCAGUCUUAGAUUUUUUUUAGCUAAUCUCUAUAAAAGGUUAUAUUUUUCUUGUUGUCUUUUAUAUAUUUACAUAAGCUGUCUGAAUUAAUAUGUUGGAUGUGUUAUUGCUGAUGUUAUUUAGAGGAUCCCUGUGCUCCUUUUUCUUAUAGAAUACUUGUGUCUUUUCUCAUUAUUUUAAUUAUAGCCAUAUUCCUGAGCAAGCAGCGAACAAGGGUUGGAUGAUGGUGACAGUUUUUAGUGAACAGAAGAAAAUGUGCUACUUUUAGAAGACUUGUUUACACUUCAGGUUUUUGGUAAGGGUUGUAUCAGCGUGUCGGCGCUCCAUAUACUGUGGCGAGUGCAGUAAUACCCUGCAUACACUUCUGUCCUCCCGCUGUUCAUGUGCAGAUACACCAACAUCCUGCUGCUGUCUCUGGAGAUGGUGAAGCAGGAAAUACAGUUUAACCUGAGAGUCAUGAUGCUGGAUGCAGAGUUUGAGCAGACUGCCCUCUAGAGGCACACAUGUCCUGUUUUCAAAAUACUCAGACCUACAAUACAAUAAGUUACUUGAAAGCAACAUUUAGAGAGAUUUAUUUCACACACACACACACACACACACAGAGACAGAUUUUCUUCUUUAUAAACUCUAAUGUUUGGUUUUGUUUUUUCUAUUUCUAGUCAGUGAACAUUAGGUGAUACUUCCUCAACAUGAUGAGGGGUCCAGAGCGUCGGUUCUGCUGGUUUACAACCUCCAAGACCCGCUACUCAAAUCAGGAGCAACCUUGAAAAAGGUGACCUGCACUUACCUGUAUGUGGUAAUAUCAGGUGGACACCUCCACUUGGAUGAAGGAACGUGAUUAUAACUCUCCCUACAGUGAUUCAGAGAGUGAACCAGACUCUUAGCUACCAUUUAUCAGUGAGAGGGGUUGCUGAUAUCGUCCUGAAGCUGUGCGCACUCUGUCAGGCGUUUUCUGUGAGGAAAACCUUUGUUUAGCUGCUGUCAUUGUGCAGCUCCACUGAUACAACUUCCGGGACGUGGUUUAUGAGCUACUUCAGUUUGGAUACUUCACAAAUGACUCAGCUCCUGAGGCAUCCUUUAAACGACUCUGACACUAACAGGCAGCAAGCACAUCACAAAGCUCCAGAGUUUGUUUCCACCACCCCAUAUGAUCCCAAUCAACUCCAAGCCUUUUCCUGGAGGCUGUCUGAUCCAGCCCAUGCCGUAGCUAGUAAGGGCAUAGCCAGAAAUCUGACAGGACAACUUCACUGAGUCUCCGGGAGGUUUAACCUCAGCAGGAGACGAGGUCAGACUGAUGCCAUGUACAUCUGAGAAGAGGAGAGCGGUAAAACACACUUCACUUCAACUCACUUCAGACUGAAAUAUGAUGCAUAUAAAAAGGUGAGUAAGGUGUGGAGAGAUGUGUUUACUCACAGGGCACAGAGGAUAUCAGAAGAAGAAGAGGCCAGCUCAUGAUUCCUCUGCUGUACUUGACCAAACACAGGGACUGCUGUGUACUUGCAGUGUAUUUAUAUCUGUCUGAGGUUGAGGAGAUUUGCAUGCAGUAUGGGUUAUGUAUUUAACAUUAAUUACGGCAGUCUUUAUACAGUACAGCAUUUCUUCAAACAUUUUCAUUCGCAAAACUGUGUAGACAAAUUCUUAAAGGAAUAAAUGAACAAAUAAAUUA